GUGUAGCUCAGUUGGAUAGAGCGUCUGGCUACGGACCAGAAGGCCGGGGGUUCGAAUCCUCUCA
rnacentral:tRNA from 1 species